GACGAACGCUGGCGGCGUGCUUAACACAUGCAAGUCGAGCGGAAAGGCCACUUCGGUGGUGCUCGCGCGGGGCACGGGUGAGUAACACGCGUGUGAUCUUCCCCUGGCUUUGGGGUUGCCACCGGGAACGGUGGUUUAUACCGGAUAUGGCACUUUCGCGCAUGGGUUGGUGUGGAAAGUUUUUCGGCCAGGGGUGUGCUCGCGGCCUAUCAGCUUGAUGGUGGGGUAAUGGCUCAUCAUGGCCUCGACGGGUAGCCGGCACGAGAGGGUGACCGGUCACACGGGGACUGAGAGACGGCCCAGACGCCUACGGGAGGCAGCAGUGGGGAAUAUUGGACAAUGGGCGGAAGCGUGAUCCAGCAACGCCGCGGGAGGGAUGACGGCCUGCGGGUGGUAAACCUCUUUCAGUACCGACGAAGCGCGAGUGACGGUAGGUACAGAAGAAGCACCGGCCAACUACGUG
rnacentral:rRNA from 1 species